GGCCCUGUGGCGCAAUCGAAGCGCAUCCGACUCCAGAUCGGAAGGUUGUCUGUUCAAGUCAGGCCAGGGUCA